UACGUAGGGGGGCUAGCGUUGUCCGGAAUCAUUGGGCGUAAAGCGCGUGUAGGCGGUUCGGUAAGUCCGCUGUGAAAGUCGGGGGCUCAACCCUCGGAUGCCGGUGGAAACUGUCGGACUAGAGUACGGAAGAGGCGAGUGGAAUUCCUGGUGUAGCGGUGAAAUGCGCAGAUAUCAGGAGGAACACCGAUUGCGAAGGCAGCUCGCUGGGACGUUACUGACGCUGAGACGCGAAAGCGUGGGGAGCAAACAGG
rnacentral:rRNA from 1 species